CCCAAACAGCCCGUCGGGCCGGCGCGUGCUAGGGAGGCGGGGUCUCGGGGCUGGGGGCGGGGCCUUGGCGGAGGCUGGCGCUGCGGCCGCUUUGGGCUCUGUCUCUGGACUCGAGCGCAGCAUCCUCGCCGCAGCCGCUACGGCUGCUGCACCUGGUCAGGUGACAUUCACCCACACUGUUUCCUUCUUUAAUCAUCAUCAUCACCACGACCACCACCAUCAACAUUUCCUUCCUCCACCAGAGCUCUUCAAGUUCUGCAAAGACAGACUCAGUUCAGGCAUGCCUGGUGGCAUCACAUUUUUGACAUCUCAAAGCCUGGAGCCUGCCCAAGCGAAGGUUCGAUCUAGGUAAGAAGGUGGACUAAAUCAUUGCCGCAUGUUGUACUUC
rnacentral:lncRNA from 1 species